rnacentral:rRNA from 1 species
CCUACGGGUGGCAGCAGUGGGGAAUAUUGCACAAUGGGCGCAAGCCUGAUGCAGCGACGCCGCGUGGGGGAUGACGGCCUUCGGGUUGUAAACUCCUUUCGCUAGGGAAGAAGCCACUUGUGGUGACGGUACCUGGAUAAGAAGCACCGGCUAACUACGUGCCAGCAGCCGCGGUAAUACGUAGGGUGCGAGCGUUGUCCGGAAUUACUGGGCGUAAAGAGCUCGUAGGUGGUUUGUCGCGUCGUCUGUGAAAUCCCGGGGCUUAACUUCGGGCGUGCAGGCGAUACGGGCAUAACUAGAGUGCUGUAGGGGAGACUGGAAUUCCUGGUGUAGCGGUGAAAUGCGCAGAUAUCAGGAGGAACACCGAUGGCGAAGGCAGGUCUCUGGGCAGUUACUGACGCUGAGGAGCGAAAGCAUGGGUAGCGAACAGGAUUAGAUACCCGGGUAGUC